rfam:Populus trichocarpa scaffold_8_contig_232, whole genome shotgun sequence.
UCUAGAACUCUAUAUAUGGUCUAAACACCAAAUAGUAUCUAGGCUGCGGGACAAAUUUAGACAUCUUUUUUAUUGCUAAGAUUUGAAUUAAAAAAACAACAGUAUUGAGUCUUGGUCUUUUAAUGAAUGUUUUCGGCCUAAGUCUUAGAUUUCUUUC